rnacentral:misc_RNA from 1 species
AAUACCAAAAUGAGUGAAAUGGAUAUAUACUUCACUCAUUUAGGACAAAUGUUGCACUAAUACAUAUCAUUAAUGUCAACAUGCAUGUACAACAUAAAAACAAUACUCUUAUGCCUAAUCCUAAACAGUUUCUUGCAUAGAGCAAAAGCAACUAACUAGCGGCAUAGUAAUUAUACACAUAUUGCAAUAGAUUAGAGUGCCAAUAACACACAACAUAACA